rnacentral:ncRNA from 1 species
GCAGAGUAGAUAUUUGCGCGUCAAGUGCCUGCCGGACGGGGAGUUGCUGGGAGGACGAAAGGAUUGACCUGCGGUGCAAAUAUCGCAUCCCGCUGC